rnacentral:rRNA from 1 species
ACGAACGCUGGCGGCAUGCCUAACACAUGCAAGUCGAACGAGACCUUCGGGUCUAGUGGCGCACGGGUGCGUAACGCGUGGGAAUCUGCCCUUGGGUCCGGAAUAACUCAGAGAAAUUUGAGCUAAUACCGGAUGAUGACGUAAGUCCAAAGAUUUAUCGCCCAGGGAUGAGCCCGCGUAGGAUUAGCUAGUUGGUGAGGUAAAGGCUCACCAAGGCGACGAUCCUUAGCUGGCUGAGAGGAUGAUCAGCCACACUGGGACUGAGACACGGCCCAGACUCCUACGGGAGGCAGCAGUGGGGAAUAUUGGACAAUGGGCGAAAGCCUGAUCCAGCAAUGCCGCGUGAGUGAUGAAGGCCUUAGGGUUGUAAAGCUCUUUUACCCGGGAUGAUAAUGACAGUACCGGGAGAAUAAG